ACAACUAAAGGUACUAAAACUGGGCCUUAGGAGUUAGAUAGCUCAGCAGUCAAGAGCGCUGACUGCUUUUCCAAAGGUCCUGAGUUCAAUUCCCAGCAACCACAUGGUGCCUCACAACCAUCUGCAAUGUGAUCUGAUUCCCUCUUCUGGUGUGUCUGAAGACAACUACAGUAUACUUACAUACAUUAAAUAAAUAAAUAAAUAAAUAAAUAAAUAAAUAAAUAAAUCUAAAAAACAAAAACAAAAACUGGGCUUUGGAAAACAGCCACAUUUAAAGGCUGGAUGGAGGGUGGGCCAAGAAAAGAGAUAUGGCCAGAGAGAGAAGAGAACAUCCAAACACACUGUCUGAGGAACCAAGGAGGGCUUCAGAGUGCAUGAGAAAUAAGAGCAAAUGAUACUGAGGCUUUCCAUGUGAUAAACAAGUAAUUGAAGAUGUCUGGGCUCAGUGGCAUGGAGGUUAAGUGACCUUGGAAAGAUCAGUUUGGUGGAAUAAGUGAUGGGAGAAGCCAGACUGAUGUUUUUGUUGCUAUGUAGUUUGCUGAGUAAUAAGGCAAUAACAUGCCUAUUUUGGGGUGAAUAAACCAGCGUAUUACAUAUAAGGUUGACACUAAACUUUUCUAUGAUUCAGAUGAGUAAACUAAAUCCUGGAGUUACCAGUGUCCCUGAUUAGUAACUGUUCAAAGUCCUCCGCAAACUACGUGUUGGCUAAAUAAAAAUAAUUAUCAGGC
rnacentral:lncRNA from 1 species